GACGAACGCUGGCGGCGUGCCUAAUACAUGCAAGUCGAACGCAGUGGGGACGGGUGAGUAACACGUGGGUAACCUCCCAUCAGAGGGGAUAACACUUGGAAACAGGUGCUAAACCGAUACUGAUGGAUGGACCCGCGGUGCAUUAGCUAGUUGGUGAGGUAACGGCUCACCAAGGCCACGAUGCAUAGCCAACCUGAGAGGGUGAUCGGCAAAACUGGGACUGAGACACGGCCCAGAGUCAUACGGUAGGCAGCAGUGGGGAAUCUUCGGAAAUGAAGGAAAGUCUGACGAAGCAAUGCCGCGUGUGUGAAGAAGGGUUUAGGGUUGUAAAACACUUUUGGUGGGGAGGCGUUAUCUACCGAGAAAGCAACGGCUAACUACGUGCCAGCAGCCGCGGUAAUUC
rnacentral:rRNA from 1 species